GGUUGUGCAGCACAGUCCCUCGCUGGACUUCUGGGUUCCUGUGCCAUCAGUCAUGCUCCGAGGGGGCAUUUCCUCAUGUAAGGGCCACCCCCCCAGUGACCAUACAAGGUAACAGUGGAAUGCAUGGCUGGACCAUCUGCUUCAUAAGAGACACACACACACGGAGAAAGACAAACGGACUCACGGGGUGUCCCGCACUGAUGAACAGACUUUUUAUUCUCAUUUGAACUCCAGCUUGCUUACUUUGAAAAUACUGAAGCAGAGAGUGAAUGUUUUCGAGAGCUUUUGAAGAACGCGGCUGGGAAAAACAAGCCCUGCAGAGGGAGAAGACGAGCUGUGGAGAUCAUAUCAGUCCAGCAGCGAAGCAGCCAGCAGCACCUCAGCUGACCGGAAGCACAGGUCUCAGUCAGGACGGCAUCGAGACUGGGACCAGAUCCACAGCGAGGUGAUCAACCAUGAGGACAAUCAGCAACUCUGAGGGGAACCGAAAGGUUUCAGCGCAUGUGGCAGAGAGGUGAGUAUCACACACAGAAUCACUUUAAAAGCUUUGUUUGUGAGUUUGUCUGCGCGUAACGCCACAGGAAGCUGCAGCAGCCGGACAGGAAGUUGGCAUCACGUAGGUACACUAUCAUUUUCUAUGAUGUGAAUUCAGCAAAACGUUUGUGCUGUGCUCUCUGUGUGUGAGUUGCAGUAAUCGUGAUUCAUAUCAGAUAAGGUUCUGUUGCUUCCGGAUAUGAAAACUCAAAGCUCCAGUCUGGGUUAGGGUCCAUCCCUGUGGCCCAUGGUGCAGUGCUGCAUCUCUGGUCAGUUGGUAGUCUGAGAUGAAGCACUGUAGCUCGGGACAGAGGACAGAGCCCGGGGACAACAUCCAGAGGGGGGGUCAUCACGGGACGGGAGGACGCCGAGCGGAUCUCAGUCAGUCUGGAAUUCAGAUGAGACUGAACCACUCGACAACAUUUGGUUUUAGUUUACAUUUUUUCCAUGAGAAAGUUGUUAGUGUUUCACCUGCGCGGGUUUCAGAUUAGGUUCACUGACGACUCUACGCUCAGUGAUUGUCUGAGCGUCAGCAUGUCAGCCCAGUGAUGAACAGGUGAGCUGGGAUUAACGCAGGUAGAGAUAACCAAGGGUGAAAUGAUAUCUCAGUGAUUUCAAAUCAACAAUCAAUUAUUUCAGAUGAAUGAGUGAGCGAGCGAGCGAACGAGUGAGCAGGCGAGUGAGGGAGAAGACGAGAAGACGAGGAGCUCGCCGACCUCUUGCUUUUUCUCUUUUCCUCUCUCCUAGGGUCCAGUUUUCCCAGGAAUCCCUUGACCUAUCAGAAAGGGGGAUUCCUGGAAAUACUGUUCUUGGGGGCGGGGCUUAACAACAAUUUCGUGCACAGUAUUAUACCAUAAUUAAGUGAGGUGUGUUUAAUAACGUUCUACAUUACUAUUAAAUCAGUUUGAUUUGUAUUUAGUGUUUAGACACAAGAGAAACACAAGUCAGUCCAGUCCAGUGGAAGUGAAGCAGCUAAAGCAGGAUUCACGCGCUGACGAGGGACAAGCUGAGGGGUUAGAGGGCUCAUUUACGAUUGUGGAUGCUCGGUUUGCAGCAUCUGGUGGAAAUAUGAUGGAUGAGUGAUGGAUCCUCCUGACGUCACCGUCUUCUCUUUGGACUUUUGGAAUUGACAUAUAUUAUAUAUUAUUAAUUAUAUUAAUACAUUUUGAGGGAUGGACACACACACACGACAUGUUUGUAUGGGACAUGAAGAGAUGUUUGAGUGCUCUUUAUGGCUCAUAUGUUGUUCCUCAUGUAGUGGCAGCAUAACGAGAGAUGUUUGAUGGUGUACUGCAUAAAGAAGAAUAAAAUUUUUAACAUGA